rnacentral:rRNA from 1 species
UACGAAGGGGGCUAGCGUUGCUCGGAAUCACUGGGCGUAAAGGGCGCGUAGGCGGCCAUUCAAGUCGGGGGGUGAAAGCCUGUGGCUCAACCACAGAAUUGCCUUCGAUACUGUUUGGCUUGAGUAUGGCAGAGGUCAGUGGAACUGCGAGUGUAGAAGUGAAAUUCGUAGAUAUUCGCAAGAACACCAGUGGCGAAGGCGGCUGACUGGGCCAUUACUGACGCUGAGGCGCGAAAGCGUGGGGAGCAAACAGG